GAUGAACGCUGGCGGCGUGCCUAAUACAUGCAAGUCGAGCGAACGGACGAGAAGCUUGCUUCUCUGAUGUUAGCGGCGGACGGGUGAGCAACACGUGGAUAACCUACCUAUAAGACUGGCAUAACUUCGGGAAACCGGAGCUAAUACCGGAUAAUAUUUUGAACCGCAUGGUUCAAAAGUGAAAGACGGUCUUGCUGUCACUUAUAGAUGGAUCCGCGCUGCAUUAGCUAGUUGGUAAGGUAACGGCUUACCAAGGCAACGAUGCAUAGCCGACCUGAGAGGGUGAUCGGCCACACUGGAACUGAGACACGGUCCAGACUCCUACGGGAGGCAGCAGUAGGGAAUCUUCCGCAAUGGGCGAAAGCCUGACGGAGCAACGCCGCGUGAGUGAUGAAGGUCUUCGGAUCGUAAAACUCUGUUAUUAGGGAAGAACAUAUGUGUAAGUAACUGUGCACAUCUUGACGGUACCUAAUCAGAAAGCCACGGCUAACUACGUG
rnacentral:rRNA from 1 species